rnacentral:rRNA from 1 species
AUACGUAGGUGGCAAGCGUUGUCCGGAAUUAUUGGGCGUAAAGCGCAUGUAGGCGGUUUGGUAAGUCGGUCGUGAAAAUGCGGUGCUUAACGCCGUAUGGCGAUUGAAACUGCUGAACUUGAGUGCAGGAGAGGAAAGGGGAACUCCCAGUGUAGCGGUGAAAUGGGUAGAUAUUGGGAAGAACACCGGUGGCGAAGGCGCCUUUCUGGACUGUGUCUGACGCUCAGAUGCGAAAGCCAGGGUAGCGAACGGGAUUAGAUACCCCGGUAGUCCUGGCCGUAAACGAUGGUUACUAGGUGUGGGAGGUAUCGACUCCUUCCGUGCCGGAGUUAACGCAAUAAGUACCCCGCCUGGGGAGUACGGCCGCAAGGCUUAAACUCAAAGGAAUUGACGGGG